UCUAAUAUGGCAGAAUAGUGCAAUGAAUUUAAGAUUCAUAAAUAAAGAUCAAUCUUUUAUUAGAA
rnacentral:tRNA from 2 species